rnacentral:misc_RNA from 1 species
GAGGGUAGCCGUGAACGAUACAGAAACAUUGGCCUCAUUCUGUGCCGAAACUGUGCCGUCUGAUCCAGAUGCGGCGACGCACCAAGUUUAUUUUCUGUACUGCGCUGGGUUCAUCAAAAUCGGCGUUUCGAAGGGGCUGAUACGCCGCCUCAAGGAUAUCCAAAUUGGGACGCCGUUCCCGUCUCAGGCGGUCAUGCUUAUCCGUGGCGGGCGGAUCACCGAGCANNNUCCUAUAUAAUGAGUACCACCAUCGGGGCGAGUGGUUCGUGCUCGGGCCCCGGCUGAGGGCCA